ensembl:lncRNA
GCGCCUCGUUUCCUCUGAAGAUGUUUACACUAAAAAUGGAUUCUACACGAUUUGGUGAUUACGGAGCCGAUGGAGCGAUGAAUCCUCAACGGCCAAUCAAACGCCGCGCCGAAGCCGUUUUUUGUACAUGUAACACAACACAUAGAAGUAUACGAUGCAUUUAUAUUUAAUCCUUUUUACGCGUGGGUGAAGGUAGAAAUAUGCAAGACAAACACUCGAUAUUUAAACGGAGAAAAUAAUAAAUAUUCACUUUGAUUGCUAUUUUUUAAAGAAAGCGUUGCUGUACAUUUUGUACGUGUUUUCCACUGAAGGUUGCAGUACUUUACGGUUCUUUGUAUGAAGAUGAAUCACUUUUGGGUUGUUUUUUACAAAUGUGAACCUUUGAGUUAUGAUGCGUUCAAAGACUUGCUGGAAUCGUGUUGUUCUCACUGUGCCCAGAGAAGGAGCCGGUGACCUUUAACCUUUGUGGGAGGCUCAGGAUCUACGAUUCGCUGGAUAUAUUUCAUGCUCUAUUUUUUGGAUGAGGCAAUGAUGGUUACUUCCUGUUUAUUUCCUUCACCUCUGUUUUAAUGAGAAAUAAAUAAAUGGCAUGAAUAUUUAACGUUUAGGUUAAAACACGUUUUCAUCCAUCAAAAGUUGAAGAUGAGCCGUUUUCAGGUUACGGCCGACGUUUUAUUUAUUACUAAUGUUUCAAUGUGGUUUAAUCCCGAAGGGGAGAAAUGUACCGAUCAUUUACAAGAACUAUUGUUUUGCUGUUGUUGUUGUUGUUGUGGCCUCACAACGAUCACUCUGUCAGCACGAUGAGCACUGACUUUAUUCAACAACUUAUAAUAUUCAGAUUUUAUUCGACACGCUCACUGAUAUGCAUGGAGAAGUGGACAAAAUAAUAGGAACAGUCGGUUUGAACUCCAAAUGAUGCUAAAGUGGAAUCGUCCAAUCAGAAAGCCGGAUCUCAUGGGGAGGAGUUACGAGCUGGGCCUAAUAAUCGUUUCAUAUUUAAUAAGCAGCAGACUGAUUGGAGGAGGGAGGGAGAGAGGAGCGCUCUGAUUGGUCGGCUGUCACUCACUGAAUGCGUGAAGAAGAACCCGUGUGGACGGAGAAAAGCCGCCUGGUUGAAUGAUUCCGAUUGUUCGGGCUUUUAUUUGACGGUGCUGAUGGAUGUUCCCGUGUAUUAAGUCCUGGUGGUGUUAGCAUGUUUAUUAAGUGUCACGUGUUUCACGCUAGAUGUAAAUAUCCCCUUUUGUUUUCCCACUCACUAAGAAACCUGCUGUGUUGUGGAUUUAUGAUUAACGACAUUAAACCAUGUUGUUUUAUUGACUCACAUAUGAUUCUUAUGUUGAUGUGAG